rnacentral:rRNA from 1 species
AGAGUUUGAUUAUGGCUCAGAAGGGCAGCAUCGGGGAUGCUUACCUGCAAGUCGUACGGCAGCGCGGGUUUCGGCCUGGCGGCGAGUGGCGAACGGGUGAGUAAUGUAUUGGAACGUACCCAGUAGCGGGGGAUAACUACGCGAAAGCGUAGCUAAUACCGCAUACGCCCUGAGGGGGAAAGCGGGGGAUCGAAAGACCUCGCACUAUUGGAGCGGCCAAUAUCGGAUUAGCUAGUUGGUGGGGUAAAGGCCUACCAAGGCGACGAUCCGUAGCUGGUUUGAGAGGACGACCAGCCACACUGGGACUGAGACACGGCCUACACUCCUACGGGAGGCAGCACUGGGGAAUUUUGGACAAUGGGGGCAACCCUGAUCCAGCCAUCCCGCGUGUGCGAUGAAGGCCUUCUGGUUGUAAAGCACUUUUGGCAGGGAAGAAACGGUUCGGGUGAAUAACCUGGACACUGACGGUACCUGCAGAAUAGCACCGGCUAACUACGUGCCUCAGCCGCGGUAAUACCUAGGGUGCCGCGUUUUCGGAAUUACUGGGCGUAACCGUGCGCCGCUGUUCGGAUGAUAUGUGUGAAAUCCGCGGGCUUACCUGGGAAUGGGCUUUUACUACCGGGCUCAGUGUGUCAGAGGGAGGUGGGUUCCCGUGUACAAUGAAUGCGUGAGAUCUCAGGAACACCGAUGGCGAAGCACCUCCUGGGAUAACCUGACCUCUGCCGAAACCUGGGGAGCUACUGAUUAGAUACCUGGUAUCCACGCCCUAACGAUUCAACUACUGUUGGGGCUUCGGUCUUGGUGCGCUCUAACGCUGAGUUGACUCUCGGCGAUACGGUCGCAGAUAAUACUCAAUGAUUGACGGGG